GGAGAGCGGGGCUUAGCGGAGUCAGUGCAAAGGAAAAUCUUAACAUGGAUCUUUUCGCUGGAGUUGAGAACAUGCUUUUUUUCCCCUGUCACCUUAUUAAAAUCAAAAAUUAAAAAAAAAUAUCUCUAAAUCCUGGAAGUAUGAUCGGAGUCUGUCCCCGAUUGUAGUCCAAAGGAGCUGCUUUUGGGAAUUGCGUGUCCGGCUCCGGCGUUUGCCUGCUGAGGAAGAGGCCCACUCUGUUCUCCAGCCUUGUUAUGUGGAUUUCUCUCUCUCCAAGUAAUUCCUCAGCAUCCCCUUGAAUGGCAUCUACCGCACAGAAGUUUUCCAACCCACAAGGCUGAAACAACUUCCUAUAACUGAAAUGACUCCAGUCCAUCUAUUCCCUAGAAGACAUCCUUCCUGAUUUCUUGUGGAGCCUGUAAGAUGACUGAAGCUAACAGCAAAGAGAUGGAAAAGACAUCAAGGUCCUAUUGCUCCUGUCGGAAACUUCUGCUGACUACAGCACGAGUUGGAUUGGGCCCAGAGAAACCAAAUACACACAAGUAACGAUGAGUUGGCCAUACAAGCAAGGAAAAUCACAGAUAACAGGUGCACACAAAUUAGCAAUGUACCUUUUAGGUCAUCCAGUACAGCUCCCUGGCACUGUGAGAUUAUUUCCUAUGGCAUAUUUUUGGUUGUUUUGUGUGCCUAGAUUAAAUGUCCUAAGUCGUGCCAUGUCCCUAGGGGGAGAUUGUGCUGCCUAGAGUAUCUUGUGGUCAGAAGCUUUUUUUUUUCCUUUCUUAAUCAUAUUUCUCCUAGUUAUGUCCCUUUGCAAACCUCCUUUUCCUUCAUUGCUACUAUUUUCCUCUAGUAUCUUUUAACUCAUGUGAUGUUGUGCUUAGUUAGCAUUAAGUCAACCCAUAGCUAUUUAGCUCAUUUAAUCUUCCCUGACAAAUCAGUCCUUUCAGUCUCCUGGUUAUUUUUCCUCUCCUCUUACACUCCUGUCUGUUGGUAUCUCUUUUAGUUAUGAGAUUUUAAAGAUGUGAUACAUUUUUCUGAACUAAUGACAGAUCUGGUAUAGAGCUGAGCAUCCUCAAUGUCUUCUCACUGAAAGAGCCUGCCUGAUGUCUCCAGGGGAAAGCUGCCAGCACUCUGGACAGGCACACAGGUAGACUAUCCUGCUCAAAUCACUUUCUUGGUGCCACUUAUUCUAUUGGCCAGCAAAAUCCCAUUAAAACAAUUAACCUAGUGUUUCAGAAAGCAAAUACAUGUAGUUACAGAUUUAUUUUGUUUUUCACAAUGUUAGAAAAUAGAGUGGCACAGAUAAAAAGAUCUUUGUUGCUGCUGUUCAGGUUCUCUGACUCUUUGUCAUGGGCAUCCCAGUCUAAAAUUAUGGAAGACGUUGUCUAGUAACUAUAUUUUAGGACAGUCCCUUGUAGAAAGUAAUUAUAUACAUAGUCACAAGCCUAGCUGUUCACUUCAGGCAAUAAAUUCUGAUCAACAAACAACACUCCUUUAGUGCUAAAUGAGAUCUUGGUUGUAAUUGAAUGUCUUUACCUUUGUGUUCUGUUGGAUUGGAGGAAUAUCAUUUUAAUCUGCUCUCUUUAAAUUUUCAUUAAGGAACGUUUCAGCUACCUGCAGCCUCAUCUGAUGAUGUUUAAUGAUAUCAGCUAUCUCAGUCUUCCGUGCAGCAGCAGGGUCUUCUUUAAAUUAGUCAACUGUAUGGAACAUUGUUUUCAAGUUUAAUAUACUUGGAAUCAAGUUCUUAAAAUAAUGGCGUCUCUAAAUAUAGUUUAUAUCUAUAGUGCACACACAUAUGUGUGCAUUUAUAUGUGCAUGUGUGUGUAUCUUUGUAUAUAUGCAUAAGUGCACACAUAUGUACAGAAAUGCUGAUCCUGUUCACCUUCUUGAAAUCAUUUCAGCUAGUAUUAACAUAAAUGUGCUGUUAAAUUGGCAGUGUUAUACAUUUUUGUUGGAGUUUACUCUCUGUAACAUAAAAUCAGAAAGAUAAGCUGUGAAACUCAUGCAGCUGAUGACAUAAUGCUAGGAUCUCGUGAUGCUGAAUCUCAUAUUUCUAAGCGUGUGGGAUGGAUGUUCCUUGCUGGAAUAAUUAUACUGUCUACUGCAAUAUAUGUUUCGUUGUUUUCAUGUGGGGACUGAGAUGUCCAAACCAUUAAACGUAUACAGUAUAAUGAG